rnacentral:rRNA from 1 species
UACAGAGGGGGCUAGCGUUGUUCGGAAUUACUGGGCGUAAAGGGCGCGUAGGCGGCCCGCUUAGUCGGACGUGAAAUCCCUCGGCUCAACCGAGGAACUGCGUCCGAUACUGGCGGGCUCGAAUCCGGGAGAGGGAUGUGGAAUUCCAGGUGUAGCGGUGAAAUGCGUAGAUAUCUGGAGGAACACCGGUGGCGAAGGCGGCAUCCUGGACCGGUAUUGACGCUGAGGAGCGAAAGCCAGGGGAGCAAACGGG